GAUGAACGCUGGCGGCGUGCCUAAUACAUGCAAGUCGAGCGAAUGGAUUAAGAGUUUGCUCUUAUGAAGUUAGCGGCGGACGGGUGAGUACCACGUGGGUAACCAGCCCAUAAGACUGGGAUAACUACGGGAAACCGGGGCUAAUACCGGAUAACAUUUUGAACCGCAUGGUUCGAAAUUGAAAGGCGGCUUCGGCUGUCACUUAGGGAUGGACCCGCGUCGCAUUAGCUAGUUGGUGAGGUAACGGCUCACCAAGGCAACGAUGCGUAGCCGACCUGAGAGGGUGAUCGGCCACACUGGGACUGAGACACGGCCCAGACUCCUACGGGAGGCAGCAGUAGGGAAUCUUCCGCAAUGGACGAAAGUCUGACGGAGCAACGCCGCGUGAGUGAUGAAGGCUUUCGGGUCGUAAAACUCUGUUGUUAGGGAAGAACAAGUGCUAGUUGAAUAAGCUGGCACCUUGACGGUACCUAACCAGAAAGCCACGGCUAACUACGUGCCAGCCGCCGCAGUAA
rnacentral:rRNA from 1 species